UGGGGAAUAUUGCACAAUGGGCGAAAGCCUGAUGCAGCGACGCCGCGUGGGGGAUGACGGCCUUCGGGUUGUAAACCCCUUUCAGUAGGGAAGAAGCGAGAGUGACGGUACCUGCAGAAGAAGCGCCGGCUAACUACGUGCCAGCAGCCGCGGUAAUACGUAGGGCGCAAGCGUUGUCCGGAAUUAUUGGGCGUAAAGAGCUUGUAGGUGGCUUGUCGCGUCUGCCGUGAAGACCCGAGGCUCAACCUCGGGCGUGCGGUGGGUACGGGCAGGCUAGAGUGUGGUAGGGGAGACUGGAACUCCUGGUGUAGCGGUGAAAUGCGCAGAUAUCAGGAAGAACACCGAUGGCGAAGGCAGGUCUCUGGGCCAUUACUGACACUGAGAAGCGAAAGCAUGGGUAGCGAACA
rnacentral:rRNA from 1 species